CCGCAUCAUGCUGCCAGCACCACUGACUGAGAUGAUUCCACUGUCACGCCUUCUCCCCCAUGACUGACUGAAGUCGCCUGAAAACUUAAGCCAAGUCUGCAAACUUCAAGACCAGUGGCUUAGCAGACCGCCAGCAGAAGCUGUGGCCCAGAUUAAAGGUGUGUCUUCCUUCCUCAAGA